UCUUCAGAUGAAAAUACAGAACUCUCAGCUCUGCCCGAAUCAUGCAUGCCUAGAUGCGGCCAUGUUCCCACCUUGAUGAUGAUGGACUGAACCUCUGAACCUGACACUGGGGCCUCCAUCACACUUCUGGAAGCUGAGGGGGUGAGAUGUGCUGAGUCACAGCCUCAAGUCACGCUGUGAAAGGAGAAGUCAGCCCCUCCCUGCCUGCCCCUGGAAUCCAUGCCCCCACACCAGCUGGGGACAAAAGGUCAGCUUUUCAUAGCCAGCCCUGCUUUCCACGGGAUGGGAUGUGAGCAGGGAAUCAAGUGUGAUACUAUAUACUCUUGGUUUUCCUGAGCUCCACAUGAACACCCAGGAACUAACCUUCCCGUUCAGCCGUGCAUUCGUUUGUUUUUGAAAAACCAGGCUUUUUAAUGAUGUUCUCUCAAACUCACUGCCCGGAGUCCAACUAUAUUUGAACAUGUCAAAUUUACAUUGCUGCAUGGGAAGAAAAAAAAUUUCACGGUGGAAAACAAAUGCUGAAGAGAAAUGCAUCUAAGUAGUGGACGGCAUCGGGCUCAUUUCCUACUUGUGCACAAAGUUCUCCACAGUAAGUGAAAAGAAUCGAAUAGGACACUCGGCCAAGAACAGAGGAAGUCAGGGCAGAGCAGGGGAAGAAAAAUAGUUGAUGAACAUAUUGAGAUCAGCAAGCCCCACUCAUAACUGCAGAGUGAAAUUUUGAAAUGUUAGGCUUUUAAAACACCGAUUAAAAACGUUUUAAAGGUAAAUAAAUGUUGGUGGACUUUUACAGUAUGACCCAUUGUUACAUUUUGGGAUUUUAAUUGUAUGUGUCUGUCUGACUACCUACAUGUAUGUAAUGUGCCACGUGCAUCCUGAGGCCCUUGAAGACCUGAGGAGGGUAUUAGAUCCCCCAGAACUAGAGUUAUGGAUGGUUGCGUGCCACUACGUGGGUGCUAAGAAUUGAACCCUGGUCCUCUGCAAGAGCAGCCAGUGUUUAUUAACUCCUGAGACAUCACUUUAACACUCCACUUUUUUUUUUUUUUUGCAAGAGUGGGGGUUGAACGCAGGGCCUCCUACCCAUGCUAAGCACAUACUCUACCAGCGAGCUAUACCUAUAUUAUAGCCAGUCUAGGACUAUUUUUUAUUUUUCUAGUGCUAGACAUUUAACUCAGGGCCUCAAGCAUCCAUCGCUGAGAUAGUACCCUAGUUGCAUCCUGAACCUUUGGACAAGCACAGCCUGGUCAUCAUUGUGGCUCCGGCAGGCACAGUCAGGAUGGAACAGGCCCCUCCUUCACUUUUGUUUACACAGAUAGCGUAAGCUCCAGCCUUUUUGUUUUUUCCUGGAAUACUUGUACGAAUUCAUCAUAUUUUAUAGUAAUCUCUCCUUUGGAAAACAUCAAAAGAAACCAAUUCUGAUUUUGAAAAUAAAAAUUAGUGUGAAGGUUUUUGGAGAGAAACGCUUGCUGGAGACUGACCAAGGUCAGUCCAUUACUGCCCCGUGUUCUAUCCGAAUUCUACACACCUAGUUAAGUAAUAUGUCUGCCUAACUCCCGUUAGGAAAAUGUGGAGCAUGUACUGACUUUUAAAACUACUGAAACGGUGUAGAGCACUCCAGUGCCAGCCAUGAACAAGGGCAGCAGGAACACACAGUAGGGCUUACGUUUCAUAAGGCCUCAUUCCGUGUCAUCAAAAAAAAAAAAAA
rnacentral:sRNA from 1 species